CUAUCAUCCAGAAAGGCGGAGGGACUGGCCCUGCGAAGCCUUGGCAACCUUCAUAUCACCUAUGAGAGGUGCCAAAUCCAUCCCGGAGGAAUUCCGGGAAAGAUGAUGU
rnacentral:ncRNA from 20 species